GGCGAAAAUUCACCGGAAAGGCCGGAAUCGGCCGAAUCGACCGAGAAGCUCGAGGUGGCUUGAUGUGUAUGUGUUCAGGACGUGGUGGCAGGAUCUUGACAGUGUGUGUGUCAAGGGAAUCAGGAGGUGUUGCAGUACAUGCAACCUUGACAUGCAAGUAGACAUGUGGAGCACGAGGUGGAACGGCCAAGCACGAGGUGUUGCGAUGCAUGCGACCGAAGCAUGCGGCCAGCCAUGUGUGAGAUGGGGUGUCGACCUGCAUGCACUUCAGUCAUUCAUCAGGCCAUCUGGACGUGGGUGUGUCAUCCUGCAUGAUACUGAGGCAUGCAGCCAGCCAUGUGGAGUACGAGGUGUCGCGAUGCAUGCGACCGGGCCAUGCGGCCAGACAUGUGGAGGACAUGGUGUCAGCUUGCAAGUGAGCAGGCCAUGCAUCCAGACAGGUAUAGGGCGUGGUGUCACCUUGCAUGUGAGCAGGCCAUGCUGAAGGACAAGUGGAGCACGAGGUGCCGCCGCGCAUGC
rnacentral:lncRNA from 1 species